rnacentral:rRNA from 1 species
GAUGAACGCUGGCGGCGUGCCUAACACAUGCAAGUCGAACGAAGCACCUUUUAAGAUUCUUCGGAUAAUUGAUUGGUGACUGAGUGGCGGACGGGUGAGUAACGCGUGGGUAACCUGCCCUGUACAGGGGGAUAACAGUUGGAAACGGCUGCUAAUACCGCAUAAGCGCACGAGAGGACAUCCUCUUGUGUGAAAAACUCCGGUGGUACAGGAUGGGCCCGCGUCUGAUUAGCUGGUUGGCAGGGUAACGGCCUACCAAGGCGACGAUCAGUAGCCGUGCUGAGAGGAUGAACGGCCACAUUGGAACUGAGACACGGUCCAAACUCCUACGGGAGGCAGCAGUGGGGAAUAUUGCACAAUGGGGGAAACCCUGAUGCAGCAACGCCGCGUGAGUGAAGAAGUAUUUCGGUAUGUAAAGCUCUAUCAGCAGGGAAGAUAAUGACGGUACCUGACUAAGAAGCUCCGGCUAAAUACGUGCCAGCCGCCGCCGUAAUAC